rnacentral:rRNA from 1 species
UUUAUGGAGAGUUUGAUCCUGGCUCAGGAUGAACGCUGGCGGCGUGCCUAAUACAUGCAAGUCGAGCGAACGGACGAGAAGCUUGCUUCUCUGAUGUUAGCGGCGGACGGGUGAGUAACACGUGGAUAACCUACCUAUAAGACUGGGAUAACUUCGGGAAACCGGAGCUAAUACCGGAUGAUAUUUUGAACCGCAUGGUUCAAAAGUGAAAGACGGUCUUGCUGUCACUUAUAGAUGGAUCCGCGCUGCAUUAGCUAGUUGGUAAGGUAACGGCUUACCAAGGCAACGAUGCAUAGCCGACCUGAGAGGGUGAUCGGCCACACUGGAACUGAUACACGGUCCAGACUCCUACGGGAGGCAGCAGUAGGGAAUCUUCCGCAAUGGGCGAAAGCCUGACGGAGCAACGCCGCGUGAGUGAUGAAGGUCUUCGGAUCGUAAAACUCUGUUAUUAGGGAAGAACAUAUGUGUAAGUAACUGUGCACAUCUUGACGGUACCUAAUCAGAAAGCCACGGCUAACUACGUGCCAGCAGCCGCGGUAAUACGUAGGUGGCAAGCGUUAUCCGGAAUUAUUGGGCGUAAAGCGCGCGUAGGCGGUUUUUUAAGUCUGAUGUGAAAGCCCACGGCUCAACCGUGGAGGGUCAUUGGAAACUGGAAAACUUGAGUGCAGAAGAGGAAAGUGGAAUUCCAUGUGUAGCGGUGAAAUGCGCAGAGAUAUGGAGGAACACCAGUGGCGAAGGCGACUUUCUGGUCUGUAACUGACGCUGAUGUGCGAAAGCGUGGGGAUCAAACAGGAUUAGAUACCCUGGUAGUCCACGCCGUAAACGAUGAGUGCUAAGUGUUAGGGGGUUUCCGCCCCUUAGUGCUGCAGCUAACGCAUUAAGCACUCCGCCUGGGGAGUACGACCGCAAGGUUGAAACUCAAAGGAAUUGACGGGGACCCGCACAAGCGGUGGAGCAUGUGGUUUAAUUCGAAGCAACGCGAAGAACCUUACCAAAUCUUGACAUCCUUUGACAACUCUAGAGAUAGAGCCUUCCCCUUCGGGGGACAAAGUGACAGGUGGUGCAUGGUUGUCGUCAGCUCGUGUCGUGAGAUGUUGGGUUAAGUCCCGCAACGAGCGCAACCCUUAAGCUUAGUUGCCAUCAUUAAGUUGGGCACUCUAAGUUGACUGCCGGUGACAAACCGGAGGAAGGUGGGGAUGACGUCAAAUCAUCAUGCCCCUUAUGAUUUGGGCUACACACGUGCUACAAUGGACAAUACAAAGGGCAGCGAAACCGCGAGGUCAAGCAAAUCCCAUAAAGUUGUUCUCAGUUCGGAUUGUAGUCUGCAACUCGACUACAUGAAGCUGGAAUCGCUAGUAAUCGUAGAUCAGCAUGCUACGGUGAAUACGUUCCCGGGUCUUGUACACACCGCCCGUCACACCACGAGAGUUUGUAACACCCGAAGCCGGUGGAGUAACCUUUUAGGAGCUAGCCGUCGAAGGUGGGACAAAUGAUUGGGGUGAAGUCGUAACAAGGUAGCCGUAUCGGAAGGUGCGGCUGGAUCACCUCCUUUCU